rnacentral:lncRNA from 1 species
CCACACCCAGUUGUUCUACCCUCAGUGGGUUCCAUACUUACCUUACCUGGAAGGCUUGUGACUUUUCAACCUCCACCGAAACCGAAGGUAUAUUUGGGGUGAUCAAAUCUACGUGAGAUGUCCUUUGGUCUGAGUUCUCCCAAAGAGCCCCCACACUGAAGGUUUCAUUUUCUAUAGCCACUCAUCUCAGUUAUUAUUAUUAUUAUUAUUAUUAUUGUUAUUAGUUGUUGUUGUUGUUGCCACUGCCCAGAAUCAUCAAAAAGGGAUGGGGGGUGGGCUUUUCAUCUCAAACCCUCUUCCCUGGGUGCACAGGUUUUCCUCACUUUCUCUCUUCUGGUAGUGAGUACACUGACCCUAGAACAACCCAGAGGCUCAGGGGGAGCCAACGCUUUGCACAGUUGAAAAUCCGCCUGUAAUUUAUAGCCAGCCCUCCUUAUCGCGUGGUUCCUGCAUAUCCACGGUACAGCAUCCUCCAAUUCAACCAUCUGCGAAUCACAUAUUGCUACGUAGUAUUUACUACUGGAAAAAAUCUACCUGUAAAUGGACCCGAGCAUUUUAAACCCCUGUUGUUUCAAGGGCCAGCUAUACUUCGUUCCCUCUGUUGACUGCACUCAGCAUGAUCCCAACACAGCAGGCACUUUCUGAAACCACAACACGCAGUUACUCCCCUCAAAGGGCCUUAGUUACUUUUGUAAAUUCAAGCUGAAGCUAGGUGGCUUCAGAUGUUUUUUCUUUUUUUCAAAAAUGAUUUUUAUUUUUUCCAAAUAGCUGGUUUACCGUGCUCUGUCAAUUUUCUACUACACAGCAAAGUGACCUAGUCCCAUAUACAUAUAUACAUUGUUUUUCUCACAUUAUCCUCCAUCAAGCUCCAUCAUAAGUGACUAGAUACAGUUCCCAGUGCUAUGUAGCAGGAUCUUAUUGCUUAUCCAUUCCAAGAGUUUGCCUGUAGUAACCCCGGAUUCCCAGUCCAUCCCACUCCCUCCCACCUCCGGCAAGCACAAGUCUGUUCAGUUGGCUUAGCAUGCACUUAGAGCAUAAAAUAGCCUUUCCCCAUGUUCUUUCUUUGCCUUCCCCUUGUGGUCAGCAAGCACUUCCUUAGGCUGGCUGGGAGGGUGCCUCUGGCUCCUGUUGCUGCCUUCAACUUCUGCCCAUUCCUAGUUCCUGGAGAAACAGUGGGUUUUAACUUUUGCCAGACUGUUCAGGGCUUCUUUCUAUCUCUGGUAAAAAUGCUUCUCUCAGAGCUCACAGUUCGGCCAGCCCAUUGUCUCCUGGAUUCCACGGAAGAGUCCUCUAGCCAAUGUUCCUGUGAAUUUUGGACACCCCCAGGUUCCCAAACUAUCUUCCCAGCAUGGUAAUUGCUUCCGCUGUUCUUUCCAGCUCUGAAACAUUCUCUCCUCUCCUGCCUUGCCUUUAAUGCUUUCUCACAGGAUCAGUAGCCUGUCUUCUUUGGACACACGCCCUUUGGCUUCUUUCUUUACAAAAAAUAAACCCAGAAACUAUAACUUGAUGAGCAGUUGCUACAUGGAGUUAGCUCUGCUAAGUGCCUCAGAGGCAUUACGUAAUCUUCGCAGUAACCCUAGGCGGUAGGUCCUCUGCCAUCCCCAUUCCACUGAUGACAACACUGAGGAGCACAGAUAAAGUGGGCACCUUCCCAAGAAUAUGUCAGGAGCAAGCAUAGAGCUGAGAGGACUUCAGCCCAGGCUGAAGACAUCAGGGAUCCCACUCUUUAGAGCUACUCUCUUCUUCCUUUUCACAAAAUACUUUUUCUUUAAAAACAAAACAAACCCAACUUCCCUUACUCUUUAUAACCUCAUCCAACUCAUGGCCCCCUCCCAUUCUCCAGGUCAGGAGAAGUCCAGAUUCACUGACCAUGCAAUUAAUCACUGAUAGAAAACAGUCAGCCCAGCCCAGGUCAUUAUCCAUAUGAUGACUCUUGGACUGUGUGUGACCCCUGGGUUGUCCAGUCACACUGGAUCUUUGUGGCUUUAAAUGGGUACUGGAAAAGAAAAGCCAUAAUGUCCUGGGAUAUCCAAUCAAACCUUGGUUUUCUUCAUCUUUGUGAGCUGCUAAAGAUGAGUUAAGACAUCUCUUGCCUCUUUGGGAGAAGAUGGAGCAGAGGCUAAAGAUCCCCUUUUCCCAUGGGGCUGGCCAACGAUGUCUACGUGGGCCAUCCGCGCCUACACGCAGCUCCUGAUUUGGGGAGUUUGCUCUCCAGGGACAACCCCAUGUCCUGGUCCAGAGCCUGCAGGGGAAAUACACACCAUGUUGGUGGGUGUGUGGUGUGAUGAGUGAGAGAUGAAGAUGUAAAGAAAAUAUCACUGGCAGCUCAGAAAAAAAAUCUGGUCCUGUGGGGUGAGAUGUGGUGUCAGCCCAGGAAGUGUUAGACCCAAGGGCUCCACUGAGGGCCUUCCAUUUGAUGGGAAACACGUUCCUGGGCUGGAACCAACAUUUCUUUCUUUUUUUUUUUUUUAUUUUCCCACUGUACAGCAAGGGGGUCAGGUUAUCCUUACAUGUAUACAUUACAAUUACAGUUUUUCCCCCACUGGAACCAACAUUUCUUUUGAAAGGACUCCUUUUAAAAAAAUAAAAAAAAAUUAUUGGAGUACAGUUUACUUAUAAUGUUGUAUUAGUUUCAGGUGUACAGCAAAGUGAAUCAGUUGUACAUAUAUAGCUAUCCAUUCCUUCUCAGAUUCUCUUUCAAAUAGGUUAUUAAACAGUAUUGAGUAGAUUUCCCUGUGCUGUACAGUAGUUCUUGUUACUUAUCUAUCUUGUACAGUGGUGCAUAUAUGUUCAUCUCAACCUUCUAAUUUAUUUCUCCUCCCAACAUUUCCCAUUUGGUAACCAUAGUUUGUUUUUGUUUUUUAAUCUGUUUUUAGGGCUGCACCCGUGGCGUAUGGAUGUUCCCAGGCUAGGGGUCAAAUUGGAGCUCUAGCUUCUGGCCUAUGCAGUAGCCACAGCAACACAGCGUCCAAGCUGCAUCUGCCACCUACGCCACAGCUCAUAGCAAUGCUGGAUCCGUUGAGUGAGGCCAGGGAUUGAACCCUUGUCCUCAUAGAUGCUAGUCAGAUUCUUUCUGCUGAGCCACGAUGUGAACUACCUAGGUUUGGUUUUGAAAUCUUUGAGUAUGUUUCUGUUUCGUGAAUAAAUUCCUUUGUAUCAUCUUUAUUAGAUUCCACAUAUUAAUGAUCUCAUAUAAUAUUUUUUCCUUUCUGUUUCCUAUGCGUCCAUACUUCACCGGUUAGCUGCAUCUGAAGGGGAUUAGGUGAGGGCUUUUAGCUUGAUAGUGACCAUGGAAAUCUUGGUCCAAGUAAAACAUUUCUUGGGGGUGAGCUGGUGCAUGACUGUUCUACUUUCAUUACUAGCGCAUAGCCCGCAGCUGACUUAGAAAAGUAAUAACGCUCUGCUAAGUAGUAAAAGGAUCAUUGCCUGCCAGCUUCUGAACCUCAGGAAUAUAGAAACAUAUGUAUUUUUGAAGUUAAUAUAUGCAUAUAGUAAGCACCCCAAAGAGUAAAACAAAGAU